GGAGACGUAUCGAAGUGGUCAUAACGGGACUGACUCGAAAUCAGUUGGACCUCCGGGUCCCGUGGGUUCGAAUCCCACCGUCUCCG
rnacentral:tRNA from 1 species